rnacentral:tRNA from 1 species
GCGGGUGUAGUUCAAUGGUAGAACUUCAGCCUUCCAAGCUGACUACGUGGGCUCGAUUCCCAUCACCCGCUCCA